ACUAUUAUUAAUAUUUUUUAUUGACCGUGUAAUUUAUUUGUUACAUAGCAAACUACACUAAGAGAAUGAGUAAGUUCUCUCUGAAAAGUGUGUUUAUUUUUGUUUCUUGUAAGUUACUUUAGUGCAACGUCUAUUUAUCUUAUAGGUAUUAAACUAAAUACUCGUGACGGUGAUGCCAUAUUAGUGCGUUGCGUUCGUUCUCGCAACGGAUCAACGCAUUGUAUGCCACACUUAAUUUGCGUUUACGCACGCCGUUCCAGUGCAAGAGAACGACGCACGCACCUCGCAGUCUCAACCAAAGAGUAAAUUAAUGUUCAACAAUGCAUAGAAAACAAUUAAUGAGCUCCGUCUAUCGUCCGUUGAAAUGAUGACGAAGCAGCGCUUUAUUUUACGUCAUUUAAAAUAUAUGGAAAAGGAUAGAACGCAACGCACUAAUGGAGCAUCGGUAUAUACCUAUCAAUGCGAUGUUAUACAUAAAUACCAAGUUAUCCACUUCAAGUCAAGAUGUCGAUAAGAGCUUGCAUUUUUGCAAGCUUAAAAGCUAAAAAAGCUAAAGCGCUUUAUAAGCUUAAAAGCUUUGUGUACAUAAACGUAGAUAUAUACGAGUAUUAUUUACAAAAUUAUAAUAUUAUUACGGAACUUUUUAGCUGUCUUAACUUAUUUGAAUGCAGAUGAAUUUAACACAACGCUCGGUGAUAAAAAUACAACAAUAAUUCGAACUACACGUAAUAAAACAAACUUCAAACACAAUCGAAGAUAAGUAUUUACCUACUUUUAUAUUUUAAUUUUUUUUAACAUAUGUCCUAUUUUAUUUUUAAAAGUCGUAUACUAUUUAACUGUUUGAUCAAGACCGUACAUGUAGAUACUUUAAUACUAUGCUUGCAGAAACCAAUCUGUAUAUACAACUACUUACACGUGUAAAUGAGCUUCUGUAUGUUUUAUUUCUUCCUAGAAGUUCUCCUGAGUUGCGAGAUUUUUAUAUACCUACCCCCGGUUCUCGCAAAGCGCGUAGUUCAAACAUAGGUACUCGUAGUUAGUUUAAAAUAAUAGGAAUAUUAUUAUUUCAAAUUCCGAAAGCAAUUUCCCGUAACUCCUAAAGGCGAAGAUGUAGUGAGACUUGAUAAUUAUUAUGAACCGUACUGGGAAGAAGGUGACUGGGUCUUUCAUAGAGAGUUAGCAUCGACAAGACUUCCAUUGGGCCAUAUCCUAGCUAAUAACGGAACUACUCUACACAGGGAAUGCAAUCAAAUAUGCCUACAGCUAUAUGAGGAGUACGGUCGUGUAUGCGGCAUGCGGGCAAGACUCACCGGUCCCAAUAACAUAAUAUAUACAUAUUAUUAUAAGGUGUUUAAAAACAUGUGCUACUUGGAACUUGAGAACUGUUACCAUGAAAAAAUUAGUAAGUAAUUUUCAAGCUUUUCCUACAAUUUUAUUCAAAUUAGGAGAAAUCAAAUAACCUAGGGGAGAUCAAGGAUGAAUGUAAAACGGGAUGACCGUAACAAAUGAGUUUUGGGGCGAUUGGAUCAUUUACCGAUAUGUACCUACCUGCAAUAUGCACCGAGAUGCUAAGUCCACAAGUAGGUAAGUUUUGUUUUGAUUAUUAUUUUUUCUCAAAGUUUAUAAUGUGUUGUUGUUUCCAAAAGACAAAUCUAUCACAAUAUGUAGGUACCUAUUGCUUGGAGUUUUUAUGUUUAAAAAACUGUGCGGGAUAUUACAAUAAUAU
rnacentral:lncRNA from 1 species